UACGGAGGAUCCAAGCGUUAUCCGGAUUUAUUGGGUUUAAAGGGUGCGUAGGCGGCCUAUUAAGUCAGGGGUGAAAGACGGUAGCUCAACUAUCGCAGUGCCUUUGAUACUGAUGGGCUUGAAUAUACUAGAGGCAGGCGGAAUGAGGCAAGUAGCGGUGAAAUGCAUAGAUAUGCCUCAGAACACCGAUUGCGAAGGCAGCUUGCUAUGGUAUUAUUGACGCUGAGGCACGAAAGCGUGGGGAUCAAACAGG
rnacentral:rRNA from 1 species